ACACAUGUGCUAGCAGGCAAGGCCCAGUCACUGGGGGAAAGCUGGCUGGCCACACUGACCACGCCAAAAAGUGCAAAUGGAUGAAUGUACCAGGGGGCAGAGGACAAGAGAACGGGCCGUCUGAGGGAGUGAAGGGAUGGCUGAAGGGAGAAGGGGUGAGAUGUGCGCGCUCUGAAGAAGCCAGGGCGGGAGUUACUGGAUGGCAGGGAGGAGUCUGCCCGAGCGGACUCGCCUAGAGAUCACCCCGGCCCCGCCCAUGAUCACCUCCUGGGAGCGGGCGCUGAGGCCUGCAGAGGUUGUAAGCUUGCGGGCAAGAGGCAGAGCUGGCACUGCCCCAGGCUCUCAGGCCACAGGGCCCGUGCUUCCGGCUUGGCCUGGCCCGGAGCCCCGGCUAGGGUUUCCCACCAAUCCCAGCCUGCUGCCGGCCGACAUUCAAAACCACCUAAUCAAACCCAGCUGCCCGCUCAGAACAGUCCAAUCACUCCCUCCCGUUGCUGGCCAGGCUUUGGCCGGAAGCGGAUCUCGCCAUCUCCCGUGAUUGGUGCCUGGCUCCCUUUUCUGCCCCCGCAGAGCCAGAGCCAGUGGAAGCCAAACAGACCGGGUGGGCUGCAGUCCCCGGCAGGGCAGCAGAGGAAGAGGUGGACUGUCACUUCCAGGAGGGGUCACGCCUGCCCCUUCCGUCGCCCUGUCACCCUCAAGAGUCGCCGUGGGGUUAGGAGGCGGUUUGGUCUCUGCCUUGUGUGGACGUUACUUGUUCUGCACGCUCAGCUCUUCAGUGUGGAUGGCAGAAGUCAGGGAACAGGUGCAGGGAUUCCCCGGUGAAGACGGAUGCCCACAGCCUGCCAGCCUGCACGUUGAAGAUUCUGUCGCAGCGUCCUUGGGCUCACGAAAGCUGCUCCAGUUCCAAGAUGCUGUGCACCCCACCUGCUCUGAAUGGGACCCCCAGUGUGGGAAGCACUCCCACCAGGUAAGGAAGGGGAGGGGAGGGGAGACCGGCCUUGACCAUGGUGUUCCUCUGAGUUCCCUGCUCCAUCCUUCCCCCACCUGGCUCACCCCCAUAUCUCCCAUCAGGAGCCCAAGCCACAAACCACCCAGGCCCAACACAGGUGGGUCUGUGGCCACCAGGGGCUCAGUUACCCAGGGGGGCAGGGGAGGAGGCAUCCAGGGAUCCCAGAUGCCCAGCCCUUGGACAGAGACACCCUCAUACCCUGCCAGCUGCCCCUACGCACACGCUCAGCCCCUCACCCCACAGCCUGGUGGGCCUGCCUCAACCCGGAGACACACGCAGGGCCUCGCUCACAUGCACAGAGGAGAGGAACAGGGUGACCCCACAGCCGGGAACAGACGUCAGGAUGGGAGAGGAAUGUCACUUAGUGCCAGGCCGGGAGCACCCACCAAUCUGCUCCCUGCAGCCCUGGCGCCCAACUGGACACCUCUCAUAGGCACUGCCCUGGCUGCCUCUGCCCCUCCCCUACCCCGGACCCAGCCAGCAGGCUGUGGCUUCAGUGUGAGGUUAGGCAGAGCCCCCAUCCCCCACAGCUGCAGUGGCCGAACACACAGAGGGAACAGGUGGUUCCUGGACAUGGCCAGGGGACGUCUCGGGCCCCAGAGCCUGUGCAGCUCCAAGGGACUCAGGAGGAGGAACUGGGACCUUAAGAGCCUGAGGGAGGGGCGUCCCGGGAGAGAAGGGAUGAGCGGGGACAAGGGGGAGGAGCAUGGGGCCCUCAUCCUCACAGGCAGGUGA
ensembl:lncRNA